rnacentral:rRNA from 1 species
UACGUAGGGGGCAAGCGUUGUCCGGAUUUAUUGGGCGUAAAGCGCGUGUAGGCGGCCAGAUAGGUCUGCUGUGAAAACUCGAGGCUCAACCUCGAGCUGUCGGCGGAAACCAUAUGGCUAGAGUCCGGAAGAGGAGAGUGGAAUUCCUGGUGUAGCGGUGAAAUGCGCAGAUAUCAGGAAGAACACCUAUGGCGAAGGCAGCUCUCUGGGACGGUACUGACGCUGAGACGCGAAAGCGUGGGGAGCGAACAGG